rnacentral:lncRNA from 1 species
AAAAAAAAACAGAUGAUGGGGCCAUAGUUUAUCACCUCUGGUUUAGACUACCUUCCUUGCAAGUAAAAGAGCUCAAACUUGUUGCAUAUUUAUUGGAAGGAGCAGGAAAAAUAAUCGUAGUCCGGAUGUUCAGAAGAUGUUGGCAGGAACCUAUUUUCUCUCUAUUUCUUGGUCAUUUGCCUCUCCAGGUUGAAUGCUCUUAUGACACAUGAUCUCAGAAGGUGAGAAAAAAAACUCUCUGUCUUCUAGCAACUACAUCAGUUCUUGAAAGGAUAUUGAGGCCUUGCUUAAGCCAUUUUCCUAUCCUUGGAUCAAUCAACAUUCCAGGCCACUCACUGCUCAGCCCUGCUCACAUGCCUACCUCUAUAAAAGAAGAAGGAGGGACAUUUGAUUGCUAGACUAGCUAGAUGAGAGAGAAGCAAUUAACAAAAGGCCAAAAAGUCCACAUAAUUUAUGAGAGAAAAGGAAAGUAUAGGGCAGGGAUAAAUUACAGUGUUCACUAUGAUGGUUUUGCAUACCUUCAACCUUAGAUUGAAGGCAAUUGCUAAAGACAAUAUUGCCCAAAAGCCUAAUGUUUUGCAAUGAAAUUCUUUAAUAAAUAUAUAUAUAUUAAUGAUAUAUUAAUGACAAAUUGGAAGCUACUCACCAAUAUCAUUAUAUCUCAGGACAUUCUCAUUACUGACCCUUAACUCCAGUGGAAACAAAGGAAUACUAAGAGGAACCAAGACUUUUUCAUCUGAAAGUGUCAGGCACUCAAGUGAAAUAGGGGACAAACACAGAUUUUAGGUAUGAUAAUAGCCUCCUGAUAAGCAAAAGACAAAUGUACAGAGUAUAGUAACAGAUACCCAGUGGUACAUACUGGAGGAAAAUCACCAGAGUGGAAAUUUCUAACAGGUUGGUCAAGAAAUAAGUCAUAUGAUCUAGAUCAAGGGAAUGUAUCCUGAAUCAGGUCACUGGCAAUUGCAAGAAUGCAAUUCCAGCCUUACAGCAUUUCAGUUGCUAUUCAGGUUUCUAAAACAUGGUUUCAGAUACCAGGGCCAGAAAGAAGAAUGAAUAUUAGGUUUCAGAAGAAAAAGCACAACAGUGUUAAGUGCUGCUGAAGGUAAUGCUAGCAAUUAAUACCUGGCUGUCAUUCUGGAGUUCCUUUUCUCUCUUCCAUCCAAGGUCAAGAUUUUCCUAACAUAUAACACAAGGCUGUGCCUAAAGUGAAUGACUGAUUCUUCAAUGAGGGAAGAAGACACAGAAGCUAAAAACAAGAUGCAUUUGUCAUUGAAGAAAAACAUCUUACAAAGGAAGUUUAAAAGAGAACCCAGAUGAAUAUUUCUUCAGAUGAACCACAAAUAAGUUCUGAUUUCAACAUGUUCUACAACUCCCCAGAGCUGAGAAGCUAAAGACGGUUCUACAGUAUCAUAUUCCAAAGGCAUCACAGGGUUUAGCUGCUAAUGCAAUAAAGUGGUUUUUGUCUUGGAAGCACGCAACAUCAUGAAUAACAUUGUCAUCUAGAAACAAUGAGCCAAUAGGCACCAUUUUGUGUUGUAACCGAGCAGGCUUGCUUGAUUGUGGAUGCAGAUAUGCCCACCCUACGUAAGUUGACAUUUUGUACAGACUAGAAGAAAUGUGUGGUAUGAGAUCAAUAAAGAAGUAACUAAAAGUAAAAGACUCUUAAUGAUUGUAAAUGAAGCUGAGAACAAAAACUUAGAUCUCAAUAACCUAGAGUUAUGACUCUAGGGCUAUGGUCUGUUAACAUCUGCUUCUUGGGUAGGAAUGUUUUUCUUUCAAAAUAACAGUGCUACAUGAAUCAACAGCUUCCAAAGGAACUAUUUCAUGCCAUCCAACCUUAGGUCUCAGACCUGAAAAAGCUCAUUGAUCUUUGGUAAAAUCUCAGUUACAUAAGUAGGAAGUUAUUUUUAAAGCCAUA